rnacentral:lncRNA from 1 species
UACUCGUUUUACUUUAGCCUAUCAAAACAGAUUUUUAGGUCAACUUCAAACGACCAUAACUCUUUGUACAGGACGAACUGGGUGGUCUACUUUAUAUGAAAUGAAAGUCCUUUGAAUUAUUCUUCCAAUGAUACCAAUUUCACCCAAAUUUGGUAUCGGAGAAAAGAGUUAUGGUCGAUCUACUUUAGGUUAUCAAAACAGUCCACCAAAGGACAGAUUUGACAUUAUUUAAAUUUUAAAGGCAUUUUGGUCAUUU